UGAAAUCUGUGAAGACGGGUAGGGACCAAAUACCAACGGUAUACUAAUUUAAAGUAUACUUCCUGUAAAUUCACCCCGUGUAUAUAUCUUUUUACUGCUUGUAGACCCAAUAACCAAUCCUCGACCGAAGAUGAAAAAUGAAGUUCUUGCUCCCAUUUACUCAUUGCUGGCACUUUAUCUAUUUGCCUUUCACUUCUUAAAAAUUGAUUGAAUCUAGAUACAAUCUUCUUUUUGUAAUGGUAUUCCAUGAACUGAUCUAUUAGAG